rnacentral:lncRNA from 1 species
CUGUCCACAAGCUGGAAGGGAUACUUCAGUUUGGAUAGCAUGGCAAAUUCAAUAUGACACUAAUAAGGCAUAGGCUUGAGCGCAUCUAAAUUAAGAGAGUGAAAGAGGAAACGUCCCAUUGAAACACACAAGUAACGAAAGGAUGAACAGUGAAGCAAAUGAAAUCUAUACCAAUUAUUAGUUCUUGUUGGUUGACCUAGUUUGUUCUGCUAAGAUGUCUAAAGGUGACUAGCAAAUGCAGGGGCGUGCGAUAAUGACUGGUAAGUAGAAAAUGAAAAACAACACAUAGGCAUGUGGCUGAAAUAUGGAUUGUUUGACAUAGUUAGCAAUCUAAGGGUGAUUCCUAUAAAGACAGCUUAAUUAGGGCUCUUCCCAAGCUCGGAAAUGGGCAGAGAUUUGGAGCUUUUCUGUAGUUGAGAGAGUUAUAGAGUAGAGGGAAAGUAGUGGUGCCACUUGAUCUACAAAUUCACCCAUGUUUGAGUGCUAAAGUUGGGGAUUUGGAACCCCUCUUACUUGUAAGGUUUCACCUUAAACUUGAUUCAUUUUCUAUAGUAUACUAGAUCUAGGAGUACAGGGAGCUAUCUUAUAUCAUAGAUAUUUGUACUUACAUUCAUCAAUUGAGUGUUACUAGCUACGAUUAUAUAGAGCUGGAGCACACUAGUAGGUACUAGCUGGAGCACACUAGUAGGUGACAGUAACACGCAAGGCUCUUCUCUCUUCUCACAUAUGCAUUCCUAGCUCAUGUACAUGUUGAGUGUAUCUCCUUUCAUGUUCAUGAUUAGGCUUGGGAGACAAAGGGAAUUCAGGUUGUGCGCGGGUACGUAGUAGAGCCUGCUUGCAAAAUCAAACGACGUUAUGGCUUCAUUGACACUCUGCACCCCUCGAAAGAGAACGCUGAUGUUGCGAUCAAUGAAGCAUGUCAAUUUUACUUGUCGUGGUGCGAACGGAUUAGUCGAUAAGGGGUGAAUCUUCAACGAACCAAGACCGGAGAAGAGCGAAAGACAAUGUCAAGAUUAGGAAGAGAUUGUUAGGAUAAUCUUAAUUCAUGUAUUAGAUUGAUUACUAUUCUAGUAAUCUACGUGUUGAGUCUUGUUAGGUGUAAGUGUUUGACCGAGACGUACUAGUCUCGUAUCGGUGAGUCCUGAUGGAUACUAGUUUUUAGGCUAGGUAUAGCUUGUGUCCGUGUUGGCGUUGGAGUCAAGGUCUACUACGUGUACGUGUAGGUCUAGGAGUUGCUUUUACGUCGGUGCUUUAGGUCUUGGUUACUGCAUAUAUAUAUACUAGUAAAUGGCCCGUGCGUUGUCAUGGAAGAAAAAAAACAUAAUCUUCAAUGAUGGUGAUCACAUUAUGUUCACAUAUUAUCGCUUGAUUUAAAAAAUUUGUGCACAAAUGCAAGAAAAUGUUUCUUCUUUUAAAUUUAUUCAAAAAUUGAAGCAAUCUUUACAUUUUCAAAAACUAUAUAUCAUGGUUGUCAAAAAUCUUGGUAACUCAAAGAUUUAUUUUCAAUUUCAAGAAUUAGAAAACAUACAAUAAUAAUUCGAUCCAUCCAACAGUUAAUUCUUCAAAAUUCACACAGGUAUAUUGUCACAAAGACUUAUAAGCAUUAAUAUUUAACUACAUACAUUAGAUCUUUCGUGAACAAUUUUACAAAUAUGGAAAUAAUUUUAAAAUCGAGAACAAUUUUUACAAUACACAAACAUUUAUUAAAAAUCGUGAAUAUUUUUUAUAUUUUGAACGGGUUUAAAUAUUUUCUUUUGAAUUGGCGACCAAUUCAAGAAAAGACGAACAUAUUUUUUGAUGUUGGAGGAUUUUAUUUUAAAUUUACAAACAUUUUUUGAAACGAAUGAAGCUUUUCUGAAUAAACAAACAUUUUUAUAAUUCAGUCAUAUAUUUAUUAAAUUCAUGGACAUUUUUUUGGAAUUUGCAAAAAAUAUAUAAAAUCUGGCGCUUUUUUUGAAUCCUAUUUUUAAUUCAAAAUAAAAAUUCGUCAGCAUUUUAAUUCAAAAUUCCUAUUUUUUAAUAUGCAAAAGUUUUUGUAAUUCUAAAUUAUUUAACUUAUAAAUAAACAAAAAUGGAAUGGAAAAUUUUAAAUAAAAAAAAAUCAAAACAGGCAUUAGCUAUUUUUAAAAUUUUAGGACAAUUUUAAAAUGCAUUAACAUAUUUUGAAUUAGAAAGCAUUUUAUUAAAUGCCUUUAAUAUUUUUUAAUACAUGGAAUUGUAUUUGAGAUCAUGUACUUUGCUUAUUGUACAAACAUUUUUUCUAAAAUUGCAAACAUUUUAUUGUAUAUGCGAGUAUUUUUUACAAAACUCCGAGCAGUUUUUGAAGUCACAAACAUUUUAAUUUUUUAAAUAUGUUGAUUUGUAUUUUUCGGUUUAUUAAAAUUUUAAAGAUUAUUUGAAGUUCGAAUUUAUUUAAAAUAAAAAUUAUAACAGAACUGAAAAUAAAUAAAUAAACGGAACUAAAAAUAGGCGCCUGUGCAUGGCCGGCUCAUACAGUGUGCUGGAUAUUCUCCAAGCGUGCAGAGCGUAAUAUAGAAGGUUUUCACAUGGGCCGGCCCAGUCCAAGAUUUUUCGUUUUGUGAAACGUUUUCUAUUACUUACCGGUGGCAUGAUGGGUAAUUUAUGAAAAAUUUAGGGGUAAUUUCCAAGACGGACGUCCAGAAACCGAAUUUGCUUUAUUAUAUAUAUACUAGCAAAAGGACCCGUGCGUUGCAACGGGAGAAAAACAAUUAUAAUCUCCAAUGAUACUGAUCAUGUUAUGUCUUUAAAAUUUUAGGACAUUUUUUGAAUUAGCAAACAUUGUUUUCAAUUGCACUCAAAAAAUAACACACAAACUUUUUUUUUCAAAAUCAUGGACUUUUAUUGUUUUCACCAACAUUGUUAUCAAAAUUAUGAACAUUUUUCUGAAUAUGCGAAUAUUAUUACAAAAAUCCUGAGCAUUUUUUGAAUUCACAAACAUUUUAUAUUUUCUUCAAACUUUGAUUUCAAAAUUCCCAGUUUUAUAAAUUGCAAAAGUUUUUCAAAGUUCUAAAUUAUUUAAAAUAAAAAAUGGAACAGAAAAAUGAAAAUAAAAAAUGAGACUAAAAGCAGAGGCACGAACUGUUUUUAAGAUUUUUAUACGGACUUCUGUUUAAAAUCGUUGACUUUUUAUUUUAUGGACAUUUUCUCAGAGUUUAAACAUUUUUUUAUAUGCAAACAUUUUUCAAAUCUCCUGAGUUGUUUUUGAAUUCUCAAAAAAUAUAUGUUUUUUUGAAUAUUUUAUUUCGAAAUUCUCAGUUUCUUAAAAUUGAGAAAAGUUGUUUGAAGUUCUAAAUUAUUUAAAGUACAAAAAAAAUGGAACUGAAAAGAAAAAUAAAAAACUAUACUAAAAAAACAGGCGCCCACAUGAGCCGGCCAAAACAGGUGUGCUGCAUCUUUUUCCAACGCUCAGAGCGUAAUAUAGGAGGUGCCUACAUGGGUCAGCCCAGUCCCGAGAAUUUCCUGUUUGAAACGUUUUUUAUGACUUAUAGGUGGCAUUGGUGAGUAAUUUUAGUCAACUUUAAGGACAAUUUGGAUGACGUACGGAAGAAGCACUAUUUGCUUUAUUAGUAGGUAAGAUAUAUAUAUGCGGGCAUAAGGCUUCUCCCAAUGCUCUACUUUGGAUAGGUUCUAAGCAUGCCAAUAAGGUAAAAACUCCUAUGUGGCAAUCUAAUUAAGAAGAAAGAGAGAGGAGUUUGGUGUCCUCAGAAGGAAACGGUGCUAGUCAUGGGAACUUAUGCAAAACAUUAUAAAUGAAUGGAACUAGUCUAUGGAUGCAAGACUUUAGUUGCUAAACAAUUAAAUGAGACAACCUUAUCAACAACAAACUAAGCACCAAUGCAUUGGAGAUUAUGGUUGCUUAACAUAUUUAAUGCUCUUAGCAUCUCACUUAGCACCUUUGCAUUGGAGGAAGCCUAAGUGGUUAUGUUAACAUGAGGUGGAGAAAAACAGAAAAUAAAAAGUGGGAAAAAUUAGGACACGACAAGGGCCCUUGGCUACAUGAUUUUGUGUGCGCGUAUUUGUCAUGAUUUGAUGUGACCGAUUCGUAGCCGAGUUCUAACAAUCCAAAAUUAAGACACGACAAGGGCCCUUGGCUACAUGAUUUUGUGUGUGCGUAUUUGUCGUGAUUUGAUGUGAUCGAUCCGUAGCCGAGUUCUAACAAUUGGUAUCUAGAGCAAGGUCGAGGCGAAGUUGUGCUUGCCCCGGAAGGUGACCCGACUAGCACCUUGGGGCGGACGAUAUGGUCGCUGGGUUUUGUAGCUACGAGGAGCAGCGGGCAAUACUCGUUCGUGGAGCGACGAAUAAGGAGGUUUAGGAGAUCGUCGUUCGGCGAAGCGACAAGGGGGGACAGUGGGCUGUCGUCGGCAAGUCGGUGGAAGAAGAUCAUUGACGGGAGCGGUGGUGCUGAGUUUUGGCGCCGAGAAGCCAUCAAGAUCAUCGUCCAAUGGAGUUGGAGUCAAGGAGUCGUGCGGGUUAGCACGAUCUGUCGAUCAUCAUCGUCGUGUCCAAGUGCUCGUCUCUGUAAGGAGGGGUUGAAGAUGAAGCUCGGGACGUCUAUGUCUCUCGACGGGAGGACCAAGUUCAAGUAUGCGUGGGCGGUAAACCAAUGAAGGUGUGUCUCUUCGAUGAGACCAUGUCUCUACAUGAGACUGGAGUGGGCGGUACAGUCCACGGGGUGGUGUGAUCCACAAGGAGCCGACAUGUAUCUCCCUAGGAUAGAUGGUGUAGUCUACCGGGUGGUGUAUUUCACAGGUUACUAGCGAGGCUGGGUAGUUCAAGACAUAUUUAGGGUGAUCCGUAAAUUCGCUAAGUCAAAAUUGAAGGAGAGACUGCUACAAUCAAUGAAGCCUGUCAAUUUUACUUGUCGUGGUGCAAGCGGAUUAGUCGAUAAGGGGUGACUCUUCAACGAAUCUUGAUUCAUGUAUUAGAUUGAUUACUAUUCUACUCCAUCCGUUCCUAAAUAUAAGACCUUUUAGAGAUCGCACUUUGAACUACAUACGGAUGUACAUAGACUAGAUAUUUUAGAAUGUAGAUUCAUUCAUUUUAUUCCGUAUGUAGUCUCCUAGCGGAAUCUCUAAAAGGUCUUAUAUUUAGGAACGGAUGGAGUAGUAAUCUACAUGGUGAGUCUUGUUAGAUGUAAGUGUUUGACCGAGAAGUACUAGUCUGGUAUAGGUUAGAGUCCUGAUGGAUACUAGUUUUUAGGCUAGGUAUAGCUUGUGUCCGUGUUGGCGUUGGAGUUAAGGUCUAGUACGUGUAGGUCUUGGAGUUGCGUUUACAUCGGUGCUUUAGGUCUUGGUUUCUACAUAUAUAUAUGCAGGCAUAAGUGGUUAUUGUAACAUGAGGUGAAGAAAAACACAAAAUAAAAAAGAGGAAAAAAUUAGGACACGACAAAGAUCUUUGGUUACAUGAUUUUGUGUGCACGUAUUUAUCAUGAUUUGAUGUGAUCGAUCCGCAGGCGAGUUCCAACGGCUGACUGUGGAAAGAGAACCCUAAUGUGUUCAAGUCAAUCUAUUGAUGGCUCCUGGCGGAACACGCUUUCCAACAUAGCAGAAGAGAGCACCGAUUUCGCAACACAAAGACAUCAACAACCUUGUGUAGAUUUGUCUGAACUCUAAACUUAACAACCGCAAGAGUGUUUACUUGCUUAAUGCAUUAGGCCGAAUUGGAAGGUGUAAGAGCAUCUCCAACAGGCGCGUCUCGUCCAGCAUCCAAAAAACUUAUAUACAAAGUGUCUAUUGUCAAGUUUAGCGUGACGCGCAGUGCCGAUUCCAGCAGCCUUGCUGAAAUGCAGCAUGGACGCGUAGCUCCAGCAGCGUGCUAAAAUGCAGCGCGCGAGCAGCCGACGCCUCAUAUUUUUUUGCAAUUUGGACACAAAAUAAAUUUCACACAUUCUCAUAAAACAAAGACAUGGCAUAUAGUUCAACAAUACAACAAAUAGUUCAACAAUACAACAAAUAGUUCAACAAAUAGUACAACGUACAAAUCAUGAUGCUCUUUGGCGGCCAUUCCAAGCCCACCACUCCUCAAUGAAAUCAUUUAUGUGUUCAUUAUGCAUUGCUGGACGUCAAAUGACAUGAUAGGAGGCAACAAAGCGGGGCACCCUUUUAACCCUCCGUCGCACUCGCACGGGAUGUCCCAAGAGCUCAUAGUUAGAGUAG